CCCGAUAGUUGAUGUAAAUUCCAUUUAUUUUGGAGGAAUACAAUAUAGAGGGGGAAGAAAGGGAAAAAUACAAGUUGGUCAGAAAAAUUGAGAGGAUCUGACAGAAAAUGGUGAGAGGAAUGCUGCGUAAACUUGCCAAUCAGUCUCUUUCAGUCGCCGGAAAAUGGCAGCAGCAACAGCUCCGCCGCCUCAACAUCCACGAAUAUCAGGGAGCUGAAUUGAUGAGUAAAUAUGGAAUCAAUGUACCGAAAGGUGUUGCUGUUGCUUCCCUUGAUGAAGUGAAAAAAGCAAUUCAAGACGUGUUCCCUAACCAAAGCGAGGUUGUUGUUAAGUCACAAGUCCUUGCUGGUGGUCGUGGCCUUGGAACGUUUAAAAAUGGAUUUCAGGGUGGAGUUCAUAUUGUCAAGGCUGAUCAGGCUGAAGACAUUGCCAGUAAAAUGCUUGGACAGAUACUUGUUACUAAACAAACUGGAGCUCAAGGAAAAGUUGUCAGCAAGG
rnacentral:misc_RNA from 1 species